UUCCUUGGUCUUUGGUAGUAGGCUUGUGUUCCCAGUCAUCUUUCCCCUGUAUGAACCAUCAUGUGUCUGUCUAGGUCACCCUUUCGUCCAAAUCUGCGACCACAUUCGGAACAGCCAAAUUGUUUGUGUCCUGUGUGAAUUAUCAUGUGUCUUUUUAGGUGGCCCUUUAAUCCAAAUCUG